rnacentral:misc_RNA from 1 species
AAGUCGUAACAAGGUAACCGUAGGUGAACCUGCGGUUGGAUCAUUACAAAUGAACCACUCUGGGGUUGAGUCUUUACUAGUUUACUGGUAUUGAUUCCUUCAGAGUAACAACACACUGUGCACCGUUAUCGUUUUUUGGGAGAGUGUGGAUAGGAGGAAACUCUGGUCCUGCUCCCUGCUUUAUCAACAUACCUAUUAAUUAAUUCUGAAUAUUUCAUACGAAAUAAAAUACAACUUUUGACAACGGAUCUCUUGGCUCUC